rnacentral:lncRNA from 1 species
CUCCAGGGCACCUAAGCAUGCGGCAAGAAGACAAUCAUCUGAAAGACAGGAAAAGGGCCCUUACCAAGUAUUGAAAUGGCCGGCACCUAGAUCUUGGACUUCUCAACGUUCCAGAACUGAAUCUUUUGAGACUGGGGCUACAAUCAUCACCAGGAUGAAGAUGAAGAAACAAAAGCUCAGAGCUGCCCAUCCUCCCCUACACCAUCUAGUGAAUCUGGCAGAACUCACCACACUGUGAUUUGAACAUCCUGGGAACUCUUCAGAAGCAGGCUGGGCGCGGUGGGCUACACCUGUAAUCCCAGCACUUUGGGAGGCCAAGGCGAGCGGAUCACUAGAGGUCAGGAAUCAAGACCAGCCUGAGUCAGGAGAAUCGCUUGAACCUGGGAGGUGGAAGUUGCAGUGAGCCGAGAUUUAUAUAUACACGCACACACACACACACACACACACACAUAUAAACAUAUAUAGUUUCAAAAUUUCAGUAAAUAUGCAAAUAUUAAAAAACUAUUGUAUUUAGGACAGUUUAGGAUUCUGAAAAUAAUUCUCAUGCAUGAUUAAAGCCAUGCAUUUUAAGAAUGUAAUUAAAAAGAGUGAAUGCAUUUGCUCUAUGCAUUAUAUUUUAUCAAAAAAAUGUUUGGAAGGUGCUCUGUUCCAGAAAAUGUUUAGGGAACAGAUUUGCCUCACUAAUUUAGCAACAUAAUGCCACUAAUUUAUUUAAUACUUUAUUAUGUUAGGCAAUUUAUAGAUGAGAAUAUUUAAAUGGCAAAGUAUUUCAAAGAGUACUUUAAGCCCUACUGAUAUGCAAAGUUGUUAUUAAGAUAGCCUGUGGUGGGAAGGGCCAUGAGGAAGGAAAGGAAACUUGAAGCUGAACCAGCCUCUUUUUCAAUGCUGCCUGCCAUUCCCUUUUCAUCCAGAACAAAUUGUGUUUAUUAAUUGGAUUUCUGAAUAACAUUUCAUUUGUUUAAAAAACAAGGUCUUGCUAUUUAGAAAAGUUUAAAAUCUACUAUCUUAUGAGAUAGACAUAUAAUGAGGUAUAAUUAACAUAAUUAUAUAGAUGAAUAACCUGAACUCAAAGAAGUUAGGUGAUAUGCACACAGUUACACAGUUAUUAAAUGGAAGAACAAUUUUCGAAACCUAAAUUAUUGGCUUCAGUUCCAGCACCUGAUAUGAUUGAAAUCAGAGAUAGAAAUCUAUUCCUCAUUUUGCCUGACUUCUUUCAUCUUGGACUUUUUCUUGAGUAAAAAAUAAAAUGUGUUUAUGUGAUAAAGUGUCUGCUCCAAAUAUAUAAAAAUAAAAUUACUCUCAAACUCAUUAGACAAUUGGCCUAUAGCAUAAUGCAUCUCAGAAUUAACAUUCAUUUUUGAAACCUAAAUGGUUUAACUUAUUGCUACACCAGCUCUUUAUUUCAUGGACUAUAAAAUUCACGAAAUAUUGAGCUUCAUGGGCUAUGAAAUAAAAGCCUAUAAAAGUGUCUUGGAAAGUGUAAUUAUCUGCUAGAUCGGGCACUUUUACCAAACCCAUAAUAAAAUACACUGAGAUUUUUCUGUUGGAAUCACUUGAUAAACUAAAAACAGGGGAUACUAAUUGGAAAAUAGAUAAGGCCAUCAUGAUAUGCAAAUAAAGCAAAUGAAUGACAAUUAAUAACAAGAUUACAUCCUUCUAAAUUUAUUCAGUACAAUUAGGUUUGCUUAAUCUGCCUUUAUACCUGCUGCAAAAUUUUAGAAAAUGAGUAAACAGGUUUAAUCACAGAAAAUAAAACAAAAUCACUACCACCAAACGUCUAAAUCUCAUGCUUGACAGUUUUAGGACUUAUUUUACUUCCUCUUCAAAAUGGACUGAGAAAUUGCUUAAAGUAUUUAAAUGUAUCUUUUAUGGGGCUACAAUACUUUCUCUCUCUCUUUCCUGUAUUACAGAUUUAUAAUUACAAUAGCCUCAGAGGGGAAAAAAGUCAUUCCAUGAAAUCCUGAAUUAUUUCUUACUAUCCAAAUAUCUGAUUGUAUGUUUUAUUAGUAUUUAUUUAAAUAAGAUCAAUUUAUACCAAAACUAGUGAUAAAGUUCUUAGGUAGUGCCUUAAUAUCUUCAUAUUCUUAACACAUUUGCUUGCUUAUAUGUCAUUCCUGUAUAUUCUAACAAUGCCCUUUGUCCUGAUUGUCAACCGAGUAUUUCCCUGAAGACACAGUAGCUGAAUGUUCAGCUUCUUUUGUCUACUAUAAACAUAUUUGUCAGCAUUUGUUCUCACUCUUUAUUUCAAAACUUGUCCUAAAAUCUGGCUGAAGUUUAAAAUAUAUUACAGUUGUGUACCACACAAUGACAUUUCUGUCAACAGACCACAUACUUGAUGGUGGUCCCAUUAAGAUUAUAAUAUGACACUUUUAUUGUACCUUUUCUAUAUCUAGAUGUGUUUAGAUACACAAAUAUUUACUAUUGUGUUAAAAUUGCCUACAGUAUUCAAUACAGUAACAUGCGGUAUGGGUUUGUAGCCUAGGAACCGUAAGCUAUACCGUAUAGCCUAAGUGUGUAGCAACCUAUACCAUCCAUGUUUGUGUAAAUAUACACGAUGAGGUUUGCACAACAACCAAAUCAUCUAAUGAUGCAUUUCUCAGAAUGUAUCCCUGUCAUUCAACAAUGCAUGACUGUACUUUAAACAUUUGACUUAGUAUCUAUUAUUAAUUGCCCAUUUUGGCCAAUAGACUGAUUAACAUUCAUCAGAUCACUUGAUAUUUGCUUCUGUGUGAACACACAUAGUACAUACAUUCAUAAAAGUUUAAUUUCACUCCACAUUGUUUUCUUGCCAAUUGUCUCUUAUUUCCUUUUUUUGAGCAUAAGUACUUCAAUAGGACAACAGCUAGUUUUCCAAUGAUAUCAGCUUUCCUUCUUCUAUAGUAGGACUGCUGAUAACUGUGCUAGUAACGUAGCUACAAUUAAAACUAUAAUUCCUGGUCACUCUUAGAGUUUUGCUUGACUCCUCAAUAACUCUUCCCAUGUACACCAUGGUAAGUUCUGAGAAUACUCCUAAAAGAACAGCUCUUAUGUCUGCAUUCCCUUUUUUACUUCUUUUUUUAUGUAAGUCAAGUGGUCAAGCAAUUGCCAAGCAGAAGCAUAGCCCCUAGGCUAAUUUACCACAAUUUUUAUGGAAGUUGGCAAGAAAACAAUGAGUACAAAUGCAUUUAGACAAAUGGGUUAUAUUCAGUGCACAGAAAGCAGCAUUAACUUCAGGUUAAUGUCGGUGCUACUUGCCCCACUCCCAACUCUACGAGGGCAAUGCAGAGCAGAUCUGGGAAGAUGCUAUGCACAUGAGUCUGUUUCACUGCUAAGGAGAACUCUACUAGUGGGAACUCUUAAUCUUAUAAUUUUCCCCAGAGAAAGACAUUACUUUAUUAUCCUGACUGUAAGCCAAACUCUUUUCCAAAUAGGAAAACUACAUUCCUAUCCUGGAAUGUCUCUGAGGAGGUAUAAUGUCUUUGGCUAGGAGACAUGUCUCUGAAUUUCUCUGGAUGUAACGACUGUUUUGCCUUUCCAAGGAUGCUUGCUUGUAAAACCAUUCCUAAAUUGGCUUCUGUGAUUAGAGCAUGUGCAGAAAUGCCAGACCACAAAGAAUUAUCACCAAAGACAACUUCUUCUCAAAUAUGAAUAAGAUGGCAUGUUAUAGAUGAAGUUCACAUUUGAAGCAUCUGAACAUGGUAAAAUAAUAUGAUCAAAUGAGGUUGCGUCUCUGAGAUUCUCAUGAAACUGGGCUACAGUCCUGGCUACUUACCCUCAAACUUUUAUCAUAAAACACAAUUUCUGCUAUGUUGAAGCCAUUUUUAUUUUGUGGUUGUUUUUACUUAAAGUGGAAAUUAAUCUUUAUUGAUGCAAUUGCUUUUUGUUUCUUGUCUUAAAAAUAUGUCAAAAUAACAUAACCUGAUAUAAUUGAAUUGGCAAAAUGUAAAAAUGUAC